rnacentral:rRNA from 1 species
GACGAACGCUGGCGGCGUGCCUAAUACAUGCAAGUUGAGCGAUGAAGAUUGGUGCUUGCACCCAUUUGAAGAGCAGCGAACGGGUGAGUAACGCGUGGGGAAUCCGCCCUUGAGCGGGGGACAACAUUUGGAAACGAAUGCUAAUACCGCAUAAUAACUUUAAACAUAAGUUUUAAGUUUGAAAGAUGCAAUUGCAUCACUCAAAGAUGAUCCCGCGUUGUAUUAGCUAGUUGGUGAGGUAAAGGCUCACCAAGGCGAUGAUACAUAGCCGACCUGAGAGGGUGAUCGGCCACAUUGGGACUGAGACACGGCCCAAACUCCUACGGGAGGCAGCAGUAGGGAAUCUUCGGCAAUGGACGAAAGUCUGACCGAGCAACGCCGCGUGAGUGAAGAAGGUUUUCGGAUCGUAAAACUCUGUUGGUAGAGAAGAACGUUGGUGAGAGUGGAAAGCUCAUCAAGUGACGGUAACUACCCAGAAAGGGACGGCUAACUACGUG